rnacentral:rRNA from 1 species
GACGAACGCUGGCGGCGUGCUUAACACAUGCAAGUCGAACGAAGUGGCGAACGGGUGAGUAACGCGUAAUCAACCUGCCCUUCAGAGGGGGACAACAGUUGGAACCGACUGCUAAUACCGCAUAAUGAAGUAGGGGUUUGCGUGUGAUUAGCUAGUUGGAGGGGUAACGGCCCAACAAGGCGAUGAUCAGUAGCCCGUCUGAGGGGGUGGACGGACACAGGGGCACUGAGACAGGGCCCAGACACCUACGGGAGGCAGCAGUGGGGAAUCAUCCGCAAUGGAGGAAAGUCUGACGGAGCAACGCCGCGUGAGUGAUGACGGCCUUCGGGUUGGAAAGCUCUGUUAAUCGGGACGCGGUACCGGAAUAGAAAGCCACGGCUAACUACGUGCCAGCAGCCGCGGUAAUAC